AUUGAACGCUGGCGGCAGGCCUACCACUUGCAAGUCGAGCGGAGCGGCGGACGGGUGAGUAAUGUAUGGGGAUCUGCCCGAUAGAGGGGGAUAACUACUGGAAACGGUAGCUAAUACCGCAUACUAUUGGAGCGGCCGAUAUCGGAUUAGCUAGUUGGUGGGGUAACCGCUCACCAAGUCUACGAUCCGUCGCUGGUUUGAGAGGACUUCCAGCCACACUGGGACUGAGACACGGCCCAGACUCCUACGGGAGGCAGCAGUGGGGAAUUUUGGACAAUGGGGGAAACCCUGAUUCAGCCAUCCCGCGUGUAUGAUGAAGGCCUUCGGGUUGUAAAGUACUUUUGGCAGAGAAGCGGUAUCUGCAGAAUAAGCACCGGCUAACUACGUGCCAGCAGCCGCGGUAAUAC
rnacentral:rRNA from 1 species